AUUGAACGCUGGCGGCAGGCCUAACACAUGCAAGUCGAGCGGUAGAGAGAAGCUUGCUUCUCUUGAGAGCGGCGGACGGGUGAGUAAUGCCUAGGAAUCUGCCUGGUAGUGGGGGAUAACGUUCGGAAACGGACGCUAAUACCGCAUACGUCCUACGGGAGAAAGCAGGGGACCUUCGGGCCUUGCGCUAUCAGAUGAGCCUAGGUCGGAUUAGCUAGUUGGUGGGGUAAUGGCUCACCAAGGCGACGAUCCGUAACUGGUCUGAGAGGAUGAUCAGUCACACUGGAACUGAGACACGGUCCAGACUCCUACGGGAGGCAGCAGUGGGGAAUAUUGGACAAUGGGCGAAAGCCUGAUCCAGCCAUGCCGCGUGUGUGAAGAAGGUCUUCGGAUUGUAAAGCACUUUAAGUUGGGAGGAAGGGCAGUAAAUUAAUACUUUGCUGUUUUGACGUUACCGACAGAAUAAGCACCGGCUAACUCUGUGCCAGCCGCCGCCGUAA
rnacentral:rRNA from 1 species